rnacentral:sRNA from 1 species
CUUGGGAUGUGGUAAUGCCAGCCACACUCCUCAGAGCCGUGGCUGGAUCUCAUCUUGUAUUAUCAAAAGCACAUCAGUGCCGAAGAAUCGGUCAUCUAAUGUUAAAACCACUUAAGGAAUUUGAAAAUACAACAUGCAGCACACUGGCAAUACGUCAAAACUUGGAUUUGUUCCUUCCUGAUAAAACAGCUGGUGGUUUGAAUAAGUCUCAGAUCCUGGAAAUGAACCAAAAAAAGUCAGAUACAAGCAUGCUGUCUCCAUUAAAUGCUGCUCAUUAUCAAGAUGAAAAGGCACACCUUCCAACCAUGAAAUCCUUUGGUACUCACAGGAGAGUGACCCACAAACCAAAUCUAUUGGAUUCUAAAUGGUUUAUAAAAAUAUUAAAGAGGCAUUUCUCAUCUGUAUCAACGGAAACACUUGUUCCAAAACAAGACUUCCCACAGAUGAAGAGACCACUAAAAGCAUCCAGGACCAGACAGCCAUCCAGGACCAACCUUCCAGUUGUAUCUGUGAACGAGGACCUAAUGCACUGCACAGCAUUUGCAACGGCAGAUGAGUAUCAUCUGGGAAAUCUGUCUCAAGAUCUGGCCUCCCACGGAUAUGUUGAAGUAACAAGCUUGCCUAGAGGUACUUCUUCUUGAACCUGGGGCCAAGUAUGUUAAAAUGUAUUGGAUAAUUUUCCUGUGAUACUAUCUUAAGUAUGUAUUUGUUUGCAAUUCAUUUUCUUUUGAAAGGAUUGUAUCAUAGAAGUGGAUGUUGAAUCUCUUUAUACGGAUGACAAAGUUAAGAAUUAAAAUGUAUUUACAGAGAACUCAUUAAAAUCAGUAUGAUUUAUUAA